CCUACGGGUGGCAGCAGUGGGGAAUAUUGGACAAUGGGGGCAACCCUGAUCCAGCCAUGCCGCGUGUGUGAAGAAGGCCCUCGGGUUGUAAAGCACUUUCAGUGAGGAAGAACGCCUGGUGGUUAAUACCCAUCAGGAAAGACAUCACUCACAGAAGAAGCACCGGCUAACUCCGUGCCAGCAGCCGCGGUAAUACGGAGGGUGCGAGCGUUAAUCGGAAUUACUGGGCGUAAAGCGCGCGUAGGUGGCUUGAUAAGCCGGUUGUGAAAGCCCCGGGCUCAACCUGGGAACGGCAUCCGGAACUGUCAAGCUAGAGUGCAGGAGAGGAAGGUAGAAUUCCCGGUGUAGCGGUGAAAUGCGUAGAGAUCGGGAGGAAUACCAGUGGCGAAGGCGGCCUUCUGGACUGACACUGACACUGAGGUGCGAAAGCGUGGGUAGCAAACAGGAUUAGAUACCCUAGUAGGC
rnacentral:rRNA from 1 species